UUUCUUUAGAGAAUGAUGUGAUGUCUGUUAGUUCUAUUUACUCCAUGGCAACCUUUAACUGGAGUGUUUCUCUGUUGAUAUUCUGUCUGGAUGAUCUGUAUCUGCUGCUUCAAAUGGCAUGCUGCCAUCUUCAGACAUUGUUCAGGUGUACCCGGUCUAGUAUUGCCUGCUCUAUGUGUACCUCCAUCAUUUGUGCAGAAGGCUGCCUGGUCAGCUGCUGAUACUUUGAGGACUAGACAAAGCCACGUCUUCUGAAAGCUCUAGAUAUUGUCAGCGUGAGACAUCACCUGGGCCCUGAGGGAGCCUUGUUUAUUCCUGCACCAUGGCAUAAGUAUGAAAUAUUUCUCA